rnacentral:rRNA from 1 species
CGUGCUUAACACAUGCAAGUCGAACGGACAAUAAAAGCUUGCUUUUAUUGUUAGUGGCAGACGGGUGAGUAAUAUAUGGGAUAUGUACCUUUGAGUUUGGAACAACGUUUGGAAACGAACGCUAAUACCGGAUAAUCCCGAAAGGGGAAAGGGACAAUUUAUUGUCUCGCUCAUUGAGCAGCCCAUACCUGAUUAGGUUGUUGGUGGGGUAAAGGCCUACCAAGCCUAUGAUAAGUAGCUGGUGUGAGAUGAUGAUCAGCCAUACUGGUACUGAGAUACGGCCCAGACUCCUACGGGAGGCAGCAGUGGGGAAUAUUGGACAAUGGGCGCAAGCCUGAUCCAGCCAUGCCGCGUGAGUGAUGAAGGCCUUAGGGUUGUAAAGCUCUCUCAGUGGGGAAGAUAAUGACGGUACCCACAGAAGAAGCCCCGGCUAACUUCGUGCCAGCCGCCGCGGUAAAAC